rnacentral:rRNA from 1 species
UACGUAGGGGGCAAGCGUUAUCCGGAUUUAUUGGGCGUAAAGAGCUCGUAGGCGGCCGAUCGCGUCGGAUGUGAAAGCUCAGGGCUUAACCCUGAGACGCCAUUCGAUACGGAUCGGCUAGAGGUAGGUAGGGGAAAGUGGAAUUCCUGGUGUAGCGGUGAAAUGCGCAGAUAUCAGGAGGAACACCGGUGGCGAAGGCGGCUUUCUGGGCCUUACCUGACGCUGAGGAGCGAAAGCUGGGGGAGCGAACAGGAUUAGAAACCCCUGUAGUCC